rnacentral:tRNA from 2 species
GAGAACCUAGUAAACACAAUUACAUAGCUUUGUCAUGGCUAAAUCACAGCACCUGUGGUCCUCA